rnacentral:rRNA from 1 species
UACGGAGGGUGCGAGCGUUGUCCGGAAUCACUGGGCGUAAAGGGCGCGUAGGUGGCCCGUCAAGCGCGCGGUGAAAGCCCGGGGCUCAACCCCGGGUCGGCCGUGCGGACUGGCGGGCUCGAGCACUGUAGGGGCGGGUGGAAUUCCCGGUGUAGCGGUGGAAUGCGUAGAUAUCGGGAGGAACACCAGUGGCGAAGGCGGUUGCCUGGAGCUUUGCUGACGCUGAGGCGCGAAAGCGUGGGGAGCGAUCCGG